rnacentral:misc_RNA from 1 species
GUAGUGCUACCCGAACUGGCCAACAUACGCGUUGCGGCUUAUGAAGAGGGAGGGAAGUUUCUAGGACAUCGUGUUCUUCCCGUCAUUGGGUUGUGCCCUGGGUAUCGUCAUGUGAAUCUACGGACCGAAUUGGGUCAACCAAUAACACUAGCAUCCCUCUUUCUGUACAUCGUGGUUAAGGACUAUGUGCCAGACGAUCUAUCGAAUUUUGCAGAGGCAUUAGCUAAUCCAAUUAAAUACCAAAGUGAACUUGAAAAACGUGACAAACAAUUGGCUGUGCUCACCGAGGGCACGGAACCGAUUUCAUCAGAGGAUAUCAACUCAUUCGUUUUUGUACAAGUAGGUGGUCAGAAAAAAGAGCUUCGUCCAUUUGAGUCCACAACAAUGAGCCCCAAGCACCGACCCAGCAUCAUAGCCGCUACCGUAACCAAUGUAGAAGUAUCUUCAGGAGUUGAGCAAGACACCGCAGAUGCGAUCACAACAGCUGGACCAGGGUUCACACACCAACAUUCGCUCGAGUCGACUGCGCAAACAUCUAUGCGGCAAGUGGAAUCGUCACAGUUCGAUUUAGAUUUAGUGCAUGCAGAGCCAUUGGAUAAGAUAUUAGACCACAAGAUGGUGCGUGAGAAGCGGUUUGAAAUGGAAAAGAAAUUGGAAUCGCUCCGUAAAAAACAUGAUAAGGAGAAGAUCAAAAUCGCAAUGCAAAAGUCUAGUCCAAUAGAUGGAAACAAGAAGGCAAUGUUUAACAUUGCCACCAAGCUAAAGAAACGGCUCAGCAAUAGAAGUCUUAACUGUAUUUCUUUUAGUGAUACGGGCGCGGAGGUGCCGCCUUGUUUGCCGGAUAUUGGGAAUAUAAAUGAAGUCUGUACUGACGGGGCCACUUGUAUUGAAGGAGAAAGUCCAUCGCUGGGAACACGCUCCCAACAGGAGAGAAUGCUUUCCUCUUGCAGGGAGUAUUCUUCGCAGAUGCGUGAUAUUCAGGAGAAGUACCAUGAGGUAAUCUAUGCGUUAGCGGAAAAGGUGUUGCGAAAUUCACAAGCAAACCAAAUUAAGCAACUUAAAGCGUCCUUGGAUCGAGUAACUUCUGAAGUAAUGCAUCAAUUGCAGGAGGCACGACGAACGGAGGUAAAGAAUUUGUCUUCCGUACAUCGGGAUCGCGAUGAGUUGGUUAGAAUGAAACGUGAAGUGGCCAGCUCAGUGGUAGAACGCGGUGUGGCAGAACGAGUACGUUUGAAGCAGACCUACGACAAACGAACCGAUGACCUGCAAAAACAACAUGAAUUGGUGCGCAACGCACUAGCGGAGCACCGUAAUAAGAAUUUUGCUACAGGAUCCUAGAAAUCUCUUGGCUUCCCUUUUCGAAUGGGUCCAGGUACUGUUUCAAAAAUUGUCGUCGAAACCAUUACCGCGAUUUGGGAACUUCUUCAGCCAAUUCACAUGAAACAACCUACUCAGAGUACUUUCAAGGAAAUCGCGAAUGAAUUUUACUUAAAAUGGAAUUUUCCGAAUCGCCUUGGAAGUAUUGAUGGAAAACAUAUUCGCGUAAAAUGCCUCGCUCACUCCGGCUCUAGGUUCUAUUACUAUAAGAACUUUUAUUCAAUCCUUCUCCACGCUGUAACUGAUGCCAACUACAGAGGAUAUGGAAAACAAAGCGAUGGUGGUAUAUCCAGUAAAAAAACUGUGGUAAAGUCCUUUAUGGGGAUAAAGUUUCCAGAGGUGAAAUUUUUCGUAGCGCAAAAUUUCUUACAUGCACGUUUCCUUUAGUGCAUAAAUUUUACGAAUAAACACAAAUAUACGGAUUUACUUUAAUCAAUAAAUAUCAAAGAAAUUUUAAAGCAAUUUAUUACAAAAUAACAGUACUUAUCCGAACCCUCUAAGCGCUGCCGCUCAAAAGUUGAUUUUCGUACAAAAACACCCCUGGCCCUUGUUGCUGUAUCACAUCGGGGUGAAUUUACUUUUCCAAGCAAUUUGAUUGCGUCAAAAGGUACAUAGCAAGGUGAAAGUUUCGUGAAAAUUUGAGCACUCGAGAUUAGGGCAUCAUUGGUGGAGUUCAAGAGCUUCAUAUUUGUACUACGCUUUAGAUUAGCAUUUUACUUGCAUUGCAAAAUAUAUCACAUAUGUAUAUCGCUGCAUAAAUACAUAUGUAUAUCAUACCGAAUAAGAGAAAAAGUAUACUUAAAUUAUAAAAUAGCUCAAUUCUAUUGCAAAACGUAUACAAAUUCAUGCUUCUGUUUUGGUUUUCCAGCUCAAUAAUAAUGCUCUCAGUGAUGCAUUUUCUGUUUACGAAAAUCUUGGAUGAUGUUCUCCAAAAUUAGCUCCGAGCAACUUAAAGUGAAAUACCUUCUUACUGCUCUUGUUAAAUUAAAAAAAAAUUGUUGAAUUCCAGAAUAAUAAAAUGGAAUCAUGUAUGGAAUGAAGAAAAUAAAUAUUUAUUUAUUCUUAUUACGAAUAUUCUGUUGGAAUCAAAUGAUGAGUACUCGAAUGCCUACAACUUGAACUUUUAGCUAAGUGUUUGGCCAACCUUCUCUAAUUUGUGGGUCGUGUCUUGAUUUAGGUAACUCGUUAC